rnacentral:snoRNA from 1 species
AGAUCGAUGAAAGCCCCCAAAUAUGUAUUCCUUUUGAAAGCGGAUAUAAAUCAGUUUAAAAUCCCUACUGUCUGCUCUCCUUGCACUGAGCUCC